rnacentral:piRNA from 2 species
UAGUGAAGAAAAAGCAUCAGGGUUGG